rnacentral:rRNA from 1 species
GAUUUCUGGUACGAUGCCCCUGAUCCGCGCCCUUCGGGGUGUGUGUGUUGGUGUGGCGUCUGCCAUCUUUUGUAAGCGCUGGUUUGUCAGGCCUUUACUGGUUUGGCAGGCUACGUGUUUGCAAGUUUUACUUUGAAAAAAUUAGAGUGUUUAAAGCAGGCUUUUAUGCUAUUGAAUACAUUAGCAUGGAAUAAUAAUAUAGGACUUCGGUUCUAUUUUGUUGGUUUCUAGUACUGAAGUAAUGAUUGAUAGGGACAGUUGGGGGUGCUAGUAUUCAGCGGCCAGAGGUGAAAUUCUUGGAUUCGCUGAAGACUAACUUAUGCGAAAGCAUU